CCUACGGGCGGCUGCAGUGGGGAAUAUUGCACAAUGGGCGCAAGCCUGAUGCAGCCAUGCCGCGUGUGUGAAGAAGGCCUUCGGGUUGUAAAGCACUUUCAGCGGGGAGGAAGGCGGUGAGGUUAAUAACCUCAUCGAUUGACGUUACCCGCAGAAGAAGCGCCGGCUAACUCCGUGCCAGCAGCCGCGGUAAUACGGAGGGUGCAAGCGUUAAUCGGAAUUACUGGGCGUAAAGCGCACGCAGGCGGUCUGUCAAGUCGGAUGUGAAAUCCCCGGGCUCAACCUGGGAACUGCAUUCGAAGCUGGCAGGCUGGGGUCUUGUAGAGGGGGGUAGAAUUCCAGGUGUAGCGGUGAAAUGCGUAGAGAUCUGGAGGAAUACCGGUGGCGAAGGCGGCCCCCUGGACAAAGACUGACGCUCAGGUGCGAAAGCGUGGGGAGCAAACAGGAUUAGAUACCCGAGUAGUC
rnacentral:rRNA from 1 species